GGCUAUUAGGGUACUGUUUGACAAGUCCUAAAAUAAGUCAUUUAGAUUGAUGUAGAGAGGCAUUUAUAACGGCAAUAACAUUAACUAGCCCUUAGGAUAGCUGCUUAUCCUAUUGAUCGUUGCAGGGGGUCUGGAGUCUAUCCUGGAAUCUGUGGGUGCAAGGCAGGGAACAACCCAGGCGGGUCGGACCAAAGAACAGGAGCGAAAUUCUGGAACACAAGCGAGGAAUCUGCCUCAAAUAUGCCGCCUGCAGCUUGAAGAUCUGGCUCCCUCCUUCCUGCCUCUCUCACCUUCUCCCGCGAGCAGUCUGGGAUGCUGGUCCUCUUUUCCAUCCUGAUGAUAACACCCUUUCUGGGAACGCCACAGCACAGCCCAGAGCAGCGACGUUAAUGAUCCCGGCAGAGAGCCGACUUACUCGUCACCCACAUACCUCCAUCUGUACUUGGGGCCCCCCCGACGCGGGAAGACCGGCCAAUCCCAGGCCAGACUGAAGCAACACCGCAUGCCUGCCGAGUUACGCUACAGAAAACUGAGACGCGGAAGAGUAGUCUGCCACAGCAGGACA